CUUGGUGAUUUGACGCAGUGGGUACACCUGUUCUCAUUCCGAACACAGAAGUUAAGCGCUGUAGUGGCGAUGGUAGUCGUAAAGGCGAGAGUAGCUAGUCGCCAAGA
rnacentral:rRNA from 1 species